AGCCCGAUCACCACAGCUGACGCCGGCAGACGAGAGUAACGCCGAGCCCUUGCCUCGCCGAUCUCCUCACGUGAGCCACCACCACCGCUCCUCCCCGCUGCACACUACGAGGCCGACUCGUCUGUGCCCUUCUUCCUCUCUGCCGCGUUUCGGCACAGCGCCGACGCUGACCAUCUCGCCAAUGUUCCCGUGUCCUAGCAGCGAUCCUCAAGGGAAGAAUUCAGCAGAGAGGAGGUUCUGUUCCAUUCUGUUGAGAUCUGUGGAUUUGCUUGGUUCCAGCAUCAACAGUAGGUUGUUUGCUGUGGAAAGUUGCUGUUGUCGAUCACCACUUCCUCCUUCUUGAAUCCGGUUGAUUUGAGGACUUUGAUGCGAGACGAGUAUCUCGGAGUCAGAUUGGACCUUUCUAUUUUCGGAGG